rnacentral:rRNA from 1 species
UACGAGAGGCCCAAACGUUUAUUCGGAAUUACUGGGCUUAAAGAGUUCGUAGGCGGCAUGAAAAGUAGGGUGUGAAAGCCCUCGGCUCAACCGAGGAAUUGCGCUCUAAACUGUCGUGCUAGAGGAACCUAGAGGUGAGCAGAACUGAUGGUGGAGCGGUGAAAUGCGUUGAUAUCAUCAGGAAUACCGGAGGCGAAGGCGGCUCACUGGGGGUUUUCUGACGCUGAGGAACGAAAGCCAGGGGAGCGAACGGG